rnacentral:rRNA from 1 species
UACGUAGGGUGCGAGCGUUGUCCGGAAUUAUUGGGCGUAAAGAGCUCGUAGGCGGUUUGUCGCGUCGGCCGUGAAAUCUCCACGCUUAACGUGGAGCGUGCGGUCGAUACGGGCAGACUUGGAGUUCGGUAGGGGAGACUGGAAUUCCUGGUGUAGCGGUGAAAUGCGCAGAUAUCAGGAGGAACACCGGUGGCGAAGGCGGGUCUCUGGGCCGAUACUGACGCUGGAGGAGCGAAAGCGUGGGAGCGAACAGG